AUUGAACGCUGGCGGCAGGCCUAACACAUGCAAGUCGAGCGGAUGAAGGGAGCUUGCUCCUGGAUUCAGCGGCGGACGGGUGGGUAAUGCCUAGGAAUCUGCCUGGUAGUGGGGGAUAACGUCCGGAAACGGGCGCUAAUACCGCAUACGUCCUGAGGGAGAAAGUGGGGGAUCUUCGGACCUCACGCUAUCAGAUGAGCCUAGGUCGGAUUGCUAGUUGGUGGGGUAAAGGCCUACCAAGGCGACGAUCCGUAACUGGUCUGAGAGGAUGAUCAGUCACACUGGAACUGAGACACGGUCCAGACUCCUACGGGAGGCAGCAGUGGGGAAUAUUGGACAAUGGGCGAAAGCCUGAUCCAGCCAUGCCGCGUGUGUGAAGAAGGUCUUCGGAUUGUAAAGCACUUUAAGUUGGGAGGAAGGGCAGUAAGUUAAUACCUUGCUGUUUUGACGUUACCAACAGAAUAAGCACCGGCUAACUUCGUG
rnacentral:rRNA from 1 species